CGCGUGUGCAUCGGGACUUAGUCCCAAACGGGGUUUUUAAACGUGGGAGAUGAGUUCUUUGCUCUGAUCAGUUACUCAGAAGGUGCCUGAAUGUGUGGGGGUGGGAGCGUGGGAGGGGGCUGCCUCCUCUUUCUCCUCCUUCCUUUUGGCUCUCCCCCUCCUUUCUUCUCCCUCCCUCCCUCUCCCCUCACCUCCCCUCUCCUCUCCCUCUAUUCCUCUCUCAUUUCCUCUUUCUUUCUCUUCUUCUCCCUCUCUCCUUCAGCAUCCCCCCACCCUCUUUUUCUCUCUCCCCCUCCCUCUCUUUCCUCCCUCUCAUCCCCUCCCUCUCUCCCCCACCCUCUCUCUUCUGUCUCUCCCUCCAAGUCUGGCACUGAACGCGAACUGUUUUGCUUUGCUCCGGGAAGAGUGCAGACACAUAACGUGAAAUCCCGAGCUUUUUGCGUGGUGCAUUUAAAAUGCUUCCUUAUUUAUAUUACCCUCAUUCCCUCACCACCCCCCACCCCCUCACCAGUCCUUCCAAAUUUCCCUAGAAAUCUAUGUAAAGCAUGCGGAGGGGAAAACAUUUGCACAAAAAGUGAAGGAGCUCGCCAAGGAGCGUCAACGACCAAGAGGAGACCAGAUGAGUUUUCAAAGCAGUCCUCACACACCCAGGACACACCUCAUCCUUUGCCUCGUGCUUUCUGCAAUGUUGCUGUUCAUGUUCAUCUUCCUAUUAACAUUUGCCAUAAUAACCCCUUAUUGACCACCAUUAUUCCUCCAUCCACCACCCACUCAGCUCCUUCUCUGAGGUGCCCUCUAAUGGGCAGUGACUUUGGUCUCUAUUUGGCAAAUUAUGUCCAGGUGGUUAACAUUAAUUUCUCUUUCUCCUAUUUCUCCCUCAUGCUAGACUUAGUCCAACACUCAGCCCCCUGUCAGGAAAACCAUAGUAAAUCCUACUUUCUGCCAUAA
rnacentral:lncRNA from 10 species